GAACCAGUUCUGGUGAAGGCCCUCAAACCCGAGAGUUUCUCGUUGUAGCGAGAAUGAAUUUCGUUGCAGCGAAAUAGAGCAACAAGAGAAACGUUUCUCUUCACUCAACAAAAGGGCCAUCUUGCUAAACCAACAAAAUCAACAUAAAACUCAUGAAAAUUCCCAAAGUGCAAUGUAUCAAAUUUCACAUAUAUGUCAACCAUAUAUCACAUUCAUGAGCUUUCAUUUCAUAAGUCUAGAUAUGCAUAAUUUGAUAGACAAACAUCAAUAUCAUCAUAAUCACACCCGGCUCAUGUACAUCCCCCCACAUCGUGCACAUAGCCGGCACCAUCGUGUGCAUCCCCCACCAUCGUGCACAAUCAGCGUCAUCGUGUACAUCCCCCCACAUCGUGCACACGGGCACUAUCAUCAUCCACCUCUCACGCCACCAUCAUCACCGACAUGUGCAUCCCCCCACAUCAUGCACACACAUGGUUACAGUCAUUAUACACAAUAUCAUUCCUCAUGCACAACACACACAUUUAUAUAUCAUCAUAUUGCAAUAAUGAAUGAAUUCAUAGCAAUCACAUAUCACAACAUCAAACCAUUUAACAAAAGCUUGUUCCCAAGGUACAUUUUCUAAGACAAGUUGGAUAGAAUCUUUCAUAUUCCCCAAAACAAGUUUGAAAUGCAAGUCCACUCACCGGUAUCGAAAAUUCAGAUUUCGGGUGCACUCGGACUAAUAGUCCUCAGGCGCAAUUCUUUUGCCUUUUUCGAACAUCUCACUACCUUGACAAAUAACAAAGUCAAGGAAUUUACUAUAUUGUCCUUAAAUUGAUAUAAACUAAUUUAAAUUACUAAUGCUUGAUAUGUAAAUGCAAAACUACGUCUGAUUACCGCUUAAUCGCGGUAUCAAUUAAAUUCGAUCGAUCACCGAUUAAUUGGCGAUUGUGUCCAAAUCACCUCCAAAUUAAUCCAUUUCUGCUCUAAUACCUUAAUUUACCACAUACCAUUUAAAUAAAGCCAAAUUCAGCAUUAGAACCCUUACAGUUCCUUAUAGAAAAAUUCGGUCAUUUGGUGCACUAGCACCCGAAAUUUUUUUUCUACAUAACCGUUUCACCUUAAUUCAUCUUUUUCCAAGCCAUUUUCCUUGAAAUAAAAACAAUCCCCCAUUGAUAUUCAGCCCUCAUGGUUCGACCAACAAGGAACCCUAGAGAAAUUGAAUAUUUCUUUUGUAUUUUUGUUCAUAACCAUGCUUAACUAUCCCUAAACACUAACAUAGUCUAAAAUCAAAUUAUUUCAGCAAUAAUUCCUCUUCCAUACCCAUUUUUCAGAAUUGAAUUCAUCAUGAUAACUCAAUAUUCAACCAUGAAAAUCAAGAACAAAAGCAUGGGUAAGCUAGGUAUCAAGGAGAAUUAAAGAAAUUCUAACUUACCUAGCUUGUUUCCUUGAUUUCUUCACUUUUUCUUUGAAUUUCCACCUAGGUUUUCUUGUUUUUCCCUUUGUUCUUCCUUUGUUCUUGUUGCUGAUUGCCUAGGCUGAAUAUGG
rnacentral:lncRNA from 1 species